UACGUAGGUGGCGAGCGUUGUCCGGAUUUACUGGGCGUAAAGAGCGCGCAGGCGGUCGUUCAAGUCGCGUGUGAAAGCCCCCGGCUCAACUGGGGAGGGUCACGCGAUACUGAUCGACUCGAAGGCAGGAGAGGGUAGUGGAAUUCCCGGUGUAGUGGUGAAAUGCGUAGAUAUCGGGAGGAACACCAGUGGCGAAGGCGACUACCUGGCCUGUUCUUGACGCUGAGGCGCGAAAGCUAAGGGAGCAAACGGG
rnacentral:rRNA from 1 species